UUACACAUGCAAGUCGAACGGCAGCACGGGAGCAAUCCUGGUGGCGAGUGGCGAACGGGUGAGGAACACGUAAGAAUCUACCUUUCGGUUGGGGAUAACUUCUGGAAACGGGAGCUAAUACCCAAUAUGCUGUGGAGUGAAAGAAUUUCGCCGAAAGACGAUCUUGCAUCUGAUUAGCUUGUUGGAGAGGUAACGGCUCACCAAGGCUUCGGCGGGUAGCUGGUCUGAGAGGAUGAUCAGCCACACUGGAACUGAGACACGGUCCAGACUCC
rnacentral:rRNA from 1 species